AUUUUUUGGUUAAUAAAAUAAAUAAAGAAAAAGUUGUCAUUUUCUCUUUCAUUUUUUUCUCUUCUCCUCCACCGAAAUAUGCAGCAAAGAAAGGGUUUUGAAGCUGGAAAAUUUCAGCAACAUAUUUCCCUUGCUUGUAAGUGAUUUUAAUGUCUUUGCUUGACGAUUUUUACAUUUUUGGAACCCCUAAAGCAUGAGCUUUCAUAAGAGGGGACUAUUUUGAAAAAUGAUAAAGAGUAUAGGGUUUUUCCAUGAGAUUAAAUAUGUUGUUUGCUGUGUUUUUAUGGAAGAUUAUGAGUCCUAGUUGUCUAAUAAACAACUUUUGUGAAAGAAAUUGCAUGAAAACACCUUAAAAAGGGCUAGAUUGCUAAGUUGUAAAAUGAGUUGUAAAUGUGUAAAAUAGUUGAAAUUAUGAGUUGCUAUAGCUAUGAAAAUGGUUCAUCUAGACUCAAGGAGUAAAGAAAUGUGAUAAAAAUUAUUUUACGAGCAUUGGGGCAAAAGUGAAAAUAUGCAAAAGUUUAGGGGUCAAAAUGAAAAUUUGUAAAAAUAUGAUUUUUAGACCCAUAUGAAUAUGGUGACUGAUUGGUAGGCUAAAUGUGAUAUUAUAGAUCAAUGAAAUCGAGAUUUGGACCUAGAACGGAAAGAAAUCGAUUAAGGGAUGAUUAUGUCCUUUUUACCUUUGUGGUAUCAAGGUAAGUUGAUAUGUAAACAAUACCAUGCUAUACAUGUAUUUAAAUGUUAUCAUUACAUGAAUUGUACAAAUCUUAAUGUGUAUGUGAUUAAUAGAAAUAUGAUGAGACAAAGCCUUAAUAGACGAGGAAAAAUCCCGUUUGAACCUUAGGAAUAGAAUAGGAUACGAGUGACAUGUCACUAGGAAUUAUGAGUCUAGAUGACUAGCUCGAGAGUGAGCAUUGAAAUGUCAUGGGAUAUGAGGUAGCUUUAGCUACAAUUGAGGUACUUAUGUGCAAAGGCUUUUCCGAGUAUCCAAUUAGUAUUCCAAGUGUUCAACGGGUAAUCCGAGGAAAGAGUUGAUGAUGGUCCCAAUGAGGUAAGUCAUUGGUGAGUAUGCACUUGAGUUAUGUUACGAGUUGUGCAAGUAUGUAUACUAAACCUAUGAGAAUGCCUUGAUAUGUGUUGAUCUAUGAUGCAUAAAAUGUGUUCUUACCAUGAUGGAUGAAAUGAUGUUGUAUCAAUUUUGUGAACAAUGAUCAUGAAUGAGUAACUUAGCCUUGACAGAUUUGAGUUAUUGCAGUAGUGUAACUUUGAAAAUACACUAAAAAUAGUGGAAAAUGAGUUAGAGGCAGAAUAAAAUAUGGGAUUAAAUCUUAAUGAGUCUAUUUUCACAUGAAAGAAAUAUGGGAAGAAAAAGAAUUCUAUAUUGUGUGAUAUUUGAAUUCUUUUGAAACAGGGUCUGAAUGAAUUCGAGAUCCCCUGUUCUAAAUUUAUAAAUUCACAAUAAAUUGUAGAAAAAUUAUUAAGAGUCAUACCUUAUAUUCAUGGAUUUUUUAUUGAGUCUAUUUUUAAGGGAAAUAAACGACAUGGUCAUUGGAAUUCUGUACAGGGAGAAAUUUGGUUCGUAGUGCACAAGGGUCAGAGUAGUUAUACCCUGAAAUAGGGAAGACUUUAACUAAUAAACUGUACUAAAUGGCUCGACCAAAAAUUCUGGAAAUUUUAUGGAAGAAAGAUAAAUGAGCCUAGUUUCAGAGAAAAUUUAAGGAACUUAAUUUAGAGUUUUAUAGCUCCAGAGAUAAAUAAUUUAGUGACUAUUUCUCAGGAAGACAACUUACAGUGAAAUUAUGAUUAUGUGGUAAACAUUGACAAAAAUUUGUUAAUGAGUUGCUUAUUGAUUUCUUAUAAGCUUACUAUGAUCUGUAGGUGUGAAAUUCGAAUAUAUUAAAUAUAUAUAUUAUAUUUUGAAAGUGAUGCUUGAAUAGUCGAAUAAUGACUAGUUUAAAGUUGUUGAAUUUAAGCUCAAGAGCAUAGAAGGGCAAAUUCGGAUAAGGGAAAAGAGAAAGUAAUCGAAUAGCCGUUGUAAUCGUACGACAACAUUCGAGGUAAGUUCAUAAGUAUAUAAAAAUUAUUGUGAGGUUGAAAUAUGUAAUAUGUGUAUUAGAUUUGAUGCACUACGUGUGCGAUAAAGGCAAUAACUACAACAUUUAAAAUGGCGCUGGGUGCGUGAGAUUGUAAUAGCAUUGGCUGAGUAAAUGGAACUAUGUGGGUGACAUAGAUAUAAGUUCGGUUUAAUGUAAUGGCACUAAGUGUGCGAUAUAAUUAUAGCUUCCGCUAAUUAAUUGGCACUAAGUGUCGAUAUAAUUAUAGAUUUGGCUAAUUAAUUGGCACUAAGUGUGCGAUACAAUUAUAGCUUCGGCUAAUUAAUUGGCACUAAGUGUGCGAUACAAUUAUAGCUUCAGUUAAUUAAUUGGCACUAAGUGUGCGAAACCAUUAUAACUUCGAUUAAUUAAUUAGCACUAAGUGUGCAAGUUUGUUGAAUGUUCAAGGAUGAUUGAAUGAAUUAAUGUUUCGAGCAUUGAAAUGAUAAGCAUGACAGAUAAGAAGGUAAUGGUACAGGUAUGUACGAAACCUAUGUGGUGGAUGAUGUUAAGUAUGAAGUAGAUGAAAAUUUAUGUAAAUGAAUGGGGAAAUAUUAUUCGGGCCUUUGAGCCUAGCAGGCUAUAAUGUCAGUGAGAUACUAUUCGGGCUUUCGAGCCUAGCAGGCUAUAAUGCUGGUGAAAUGAUAUCGGGCCUCGAGCCUAGUAGGCGAAAUGCCGAUGAUUUGAGAAAAGUCUAAGACUAAGGUACCUCGUGUUAGAUUGACAAAUGAAUACAUUCAAUACGUUAAGAGGGCCAGGUACGCAUUAUGUACUCAUAUGUGAGUUUGAUUUGAAUUGAAUCAUAAGUGUGAUGUGAUACAUAUGUGAAUAAAUGUUAUAACUAUAUAUAUGACCAUGAUACAUUCGGUCAAGGUGUGAAAGUAUGUGAAAGUAUUUGAUUUAUUUAUGUUAUAUGAAUUCUGAUUAAGUGUUAUAAGAAUGAUGAAUAUGCAUUAUGUGCUUGUGUAUAUUCGGCCAGAUGGCAAUAUACUUAAAAUAUGGCCUCUUGAGAAAUUGAAUAAUCGAAGUAUAAUUGUAUUUAUUUGUUUGCGGAGUUCGCCGGAGAUAUUAUCACACUGUCGAGCUAACACUAUGGGUGUAGUGAUUUCAAAUACUUUGAGUCUAUGGCAUGUAUAGGUGUGUAAAUAUUAGAGUAUGUGAUUUGGCUUUAACCAUAUGUGUUGGCCUAUUUUGAUUAUAGGGUUGUAAAUCUAUUUUAAUUAUGCAUGAAUGUGCUAUGGUAUUAUGUGACGAGUUUAUAAUGAUUAAAGCAUGAAUUUUCCAAGUUUUUCUUAAGUUCUCGGUUUAGUCCCGAACCACCCCAGAUAUAUGUUUUGGGUCUCGUGAACCCGUUUAAGGGACAAGAUUGUAUGUGAAAAGAAAAGUUUUUAAUUAUUUGAGAUUUCAUGGCCCUGUUUAGUGUAGAAGUGUUAGUAAAAUUCAAGUAGCACCUCGAACCCCGUCCUAGCGUCGGAUGCAAGCGAGGGGUGUUACAUUUGGUCUAGUGGUAUGAUUUUAGCUUCGGACGCGAGAAGUCUUGUAAUAGCUCGAUUUUUAGUGGUGUCGGAAACAGUGGUUUCAGAGCCACCAAAUCUGGCAAGUAAGUUUGUAAAUAUUAUAUUUAAUAUUUAUGAGUUAUUUUUUAUUUUAAAAAGGUUUUUGAUAUAGUGAUUUUUGUUGUAUAAAUGAUUUAUUAAGUUCAAGUGGUUUUAGAAAAUGAGGUAUUGAGACCUCGUUUCUAUAAACCGAGCCGCAAAUAUUUAUAAAUAUUUAUGGAGUGUAAUUAAGGUGGUAUUAAAUUUUUUUUGGAAAAUUUUAUCGUUUCGAUAGUUAAUUAAGCAAAAAGGGCUAAAUCGCAUAAAGUGUAAAAGUUGUGUUCUAUAAGUAAAGGUAUUAAAUAGCUAUAGAACUUUAAAGUGGAAGUCCUUAUACGGUAAAUAAACCAUUAAAGGUGAUAGUGGAUGUGCAUAGCUUGGCAUUAGUGUAAUUUUUAAAUAGGUAAAAGUAAAAUAGUAAUUUGAUUAUUAAAUUAAAUUAAAUAAAAACCAAAAUGUUAUAUCAUCAUUUUGGUGUCUUCUUCAAGAAUGAAAAGGAAAAAGAGAAGCCAUGGAUGCUGGAAAAUUUCAGCCAUGUUUUUUCAUUGCAUGUAAGCCCUUAAGCUAUUAAUUUCUUGUAAUUUUUAUGUUUUUGAGAGCGUUGCAAUUAGGUCCAGCUAGCCCGUACCUUUGAUUUUAAACUGUUAAAGAUUUUGAAUGUUGCCAUUGAUGAAUCUUGUGAUUUUUGAUGUUAGAUGAUGAAUUUGGAAUGUUGAUUUAUAUUUAAAAGUAUUUUGUUAAGUGGUUUUGAUGAAUUUUUUGAUUAGGGACAAAUUUGUUAAAUUAAUAAAAGUACAAGGAUUAAAUGUGAGAUUUUUGCAUAAAUGGGAUGUUUUGGAUACCAGGAAUUUUUUUCUAAGCUCAAUUUGGGGUAAAAAUGGUUAAUUUGCAUGUUUUGGGCUCAGGGACUAAAUUGAAUAAAAGUAAAACUUUAGGGAUAAUUUUGUAAAAAUGUCAAAAAUGAAAAAAUUGUAUGAAAUGAAUUUUUUAUUGUCUAAAUUAAUAUAUUGAAUGAAAUUAUUAAUUUAGAUCAAGAUCGGGUGAAAAAUCGAGUUAAAUAGUAAAUUAUCAAAAUGCCCCUGAACUUUGGUAUUUCUGUAAUUUAGCCAGGUAAGAUUUUAUGAACUAUACUAUGUAUAUUGUUGAUUAAAUUGGAUAUAUAUAUUAUACAAUUUAGCUUAUAAUGAAACGAGGAAAAUUCAACAACGCACAACGACUAUCGAGUCUCGUUUGAACCUUAGGAAUAUUUAGAAUACGAAUGACAUGUCAUUAGGGGUUACCGUGUUAUGGGUGCUGGUCUUAUAUGUCCUAUCGAUGGCUGAGUUUCCAGCAUUUGUUGCGGUUACUUGACAGCUUGUGUUAGCAGCACCAUGUAGCUACGUCUCGACUGACAGCUUGUGUGAGCAGACCCAGUUAUGGCUCAAGUGAGAGCAUUGAUAUGAGAUAUGAGAUAGUAGUGGCUUCGACCACGUGUAGGCACAUAGUGUGCGAGACUCCAUUGUAUCCGAUAUUAUUCUAAGUGGUUUAACGGGAAAUAUGCUAUUACGAGACGCUAUGAGUUUGAUACAAACUAAUACUAGUAUAUACAUGAAAUAUAUGGAAAUGAUGGUACAUGAUAUAUUGAUAUAUUGAAAUGGAUGAUAUAUGUAUAUGAUGAAACGGAAAGAUAAUGAUAUGUAUCAUGACAUGCACAUAUAUGAAUAUCUUUGAUAUAUUGAUACAUGAUAAUUAUGUAAGUUGAGACAAGUAAUGAACUCAAUUGUGACAUGUUGAGAAAAUAAAAUUAUCAAUGUUGAAUUUAUAUGAAAUAUGUUCAAGUACGCUAACAUGUGUUGCUGUUUGAUGCUUAGGCAAGUGCCAAGCUGUUGGCUGAAUGAUAUUAUGUUUACAUAUAAGUCGUAUUGAAAUGGUAAGUGCUCAAAUGAAAAUAUGCUUAUACUCAUGAAAAAGUGAUAAUGUUUAAAAAUUAUGCAAAUUCUUAGGAAAUGGUUUAUCAUGUGAUUAAUUCUAAAAGAGCUAUGCUUAAAUGCACUACCUUGUGGCUAUGGUUGAUGAUAUGCUUGUGUCUUGUGUACUAUGUAUAUGAAAUGAGUGAUGAAAAAGAGAAUGAUGAGUUGAAUUGAUGAUGUUAUUUAAGCUAAAGAAAGUAAAUGUAAUGGAAAGUAAUGACAUGCAAAUGAAAGGAAGAAAAUUGAAAGAGAUUUAAAGUUUUCAUAAAAUCCUACUUUGUUAAGGAUGAUAGGUAUAAGUGAUGUUGUGGAAUUAUUCAAUUUCUAAGUUGUUGAAUUUGGUUUCAUGAAUCGUGUGGUAUCGGUAUAUGAUUAUUCUUGAUAUGUAUAAAUUUCAUAUUUGAAAUGGAUAGAUAUGAUUAAAGUUUAUACGAGCUUACCUUAGCAUUAUUGCUUACGUAGUUAUUUUUCUUUACUUACAGACUAUUGGAAGCUCGAUUGGGUUGGAAGCUCGUCAAAGAUUUAUCACACUAUCCAGCAAUUAUAUCGGUAGAUUUUGAGGUCUUGGUUAAGGUUAUAAUGGCAUGUAUAGGUAUUUUGGCUAAUGUUAGCCCAUGUGUUUUGGGUGUGGAAAUGACUAUUUGGUUAGUUUGCAUUUUGGCCUUGUGUUGGUAAAAUGAUAUAUAUUAUAAGGUGAAUAUAAUUAGCCUUGUAAUGGUUGAUAUAUGACUUAUUAUGGUUGAAUGAUGGUAGAUAGAAAAGUAGUUGAAUGUGCAUAUUAGAUAUGACAUAUAACUUGUUGUGAAUUGGUGUUUUGCCAUAUUAAGCAUAUAUGUGUUUUGAUGCUAUUGAUUAUGUGGUACGGUUGGUACCAAAUGGUAUGUUUUGGUAAGUGAUUUACAUGUUGUGUAAUGUUGCAAAUUUAGUUAGAAGUCAAUCAAUUAUUU
rnacentral:lncRNA from 1 species